UACGAAUGGGGCAAGCGUUGUUCGGAAUCACUGGGCGUAAAGCGUGUGUAGGCGGUUUAUCAAGUCAGAAGUGAAAGCCCAGGGCUUAACCCUGGAAUUGCUUUUGAAACUGAUAGGCUAGAGUACUGGAGAGGUUAGCAGAAUUCCAAGUGUAGAGGUGAAAUUCGCAGAUAUUUGGAGGAAUACCAGUGGCGCAAGCGGCUAACUGGACAGUAACUGACGCUGAGACACGAAAGCGUGGGGAUCAAACAGG
rnacentral:rRNA from 1 species